UGGCCGCAGUAUUUUGACUGUGCAAAGGUAGCAUAAUCAUUAGUCUUUUAAUUGAAGGCUUGUAUGAAUGGUUGGACGAAGUAUUAACUGUUUCAUAUAAAUUUAUAAUAAAAUUUUAUAUUUUAGUAAAAAAGCUAAAAUUUAAUUAAAAGACGAGAAGACCCUAUAAAUCUUUAUAUUUAAAUUUAAUUUAAUUUUUUAAAUUUAAUAUUAGUUAAAUUUAAUUUAAAUAUUUUAUUGGGGUGAUAUUAAAAUUUAUAAAACUUUUAAUUUUAAUUUAACAUUUAUUUAUGUUUUAUUGAUCCAUUAAUAAUGAUUAUAAGAAUAAGUUACUUUAGGGAUAACAGCGUAAUUUUUUUGGAGAGUUCUUAUUAAUAAAAAAGUUUGCGACCUCGAUGUUGGAUUAAGAAAUAAAUUUAGGUGUAGAAGCUUAAAAAUUAAGUCUGUUCGACUUUUAAAUUCUUACAUGAUCUGAGUUCAGACCGGCGUAAGCCAGGUUGGUUUCUAUCUUUAAUUAUUUAUAAUAUUUUAGUACGAAAGGACCAAAUAUUAAAUAUAUUCCAAUUUUUUUUUUGAAAAUAAUUAAAUUUAUU
rnacentral:rRNA from 1 species